rnacentral:rRNA from 1 species
UACGUAGGGGGCAAGCGUUGUCCGGAUUUAUUGGGCGUAAAGCGCACGCAGGCGGUCUCUUAAGUUUUGAGUGACAGGUGGUGGCUCAACUACCACAGGCCUUGGAAAACUGGGAGACUUGAGGACUUCAGAGGGAUGCGGAAUUCCAGGUGGAGCGGUGAAAUGCAUAGAUAUCGUCAAGAACACCGAUAGUGAAGACAGCUUACUAGACUGUAACUGACGCUGAGGCACGAAAGUGUGGGGAUCAAACAGG